GGUGGCUCACGCCUGUAAUCCCAGCACUUUGGGAGGCCAAGGCAGGUGGACCACGAGGUCAGAAGAUCGAGACCAUCCUGGCUAACGGUGAAACUCCGUCUCUACUAAAAAUACAAAAAAUUACCCGGGUGUGGUGGCGGGCACGUGGUGGCUGGGCCGGGGAAAUGGCGGCUUCAGGAGAGAGCGGGACUUCGGGCAGCGGAGGCAGCACCGAGGAAGCCUUUAUGACCUUCUACAGUGAGGUGAAACAAAUAGAGAAGAGAGACUCGGUUCUAACAUCGAAAAAUCAGAUUGAAAGACUGACCCGUCCUGGUUCCUCUUACUUCAAUUUGAACCCAUUUGAGGUUCUUCAGAUAGAUCCUGAAGUUACAGAUGAGGACAUAAAAAAGAGAUUUCGGCAGUUAUCCAUCUUGGUGCAUCCUGACAAAAAUCAAGAUGACGCUGACAGAGCACAAAAGGCUUUUGAAGCUGUGGACAAAGCUUACAAGUUGCUACUGGAUCAGGAGCAAAAGAAGAGGGCCCUGGAUGUAAUUCAGGCAGGAAAAGAAUACGUGGAACACACUGAGAAAGAGCGAAAAAAACAGUUAAAGAAGGAAGGAAAACCUACAAUUGUAGCGGAGGAUGAUCCUGAACUGUUCAAACAAGCUGUAUAUAAACAGACAAUGAAACUCUUUGCUGAGCUGGAAAUUAAAAGGAAAGAGAGAGAAGCCAAAGAGAUGCAUGAAAGGAAACAACAAAGGGAAGAAGAGAUUGAAGCUCAUCUCCAGGUCUCACAGAACAGUUUUGGCUCCAAAGAGUAA